ACGUACAUACAUACAUAUAUACAUACACACACACACACACACACAUAUACACACAUAUAUAUAUACACACAUACAUGUGUGUGUGUAUAUAUGACGAUAUCUGUGUACGUUUGUUAUGUAACAGGGACAUAUGACCGUGACAAAUUUUGUACGUUGUUAAAUAAGGAAGAAUUACGUUCAUAACUAAGUAUGUUUGUUACGAAAUAAGGAAAUGUAACUUAAAGUUUGUUUUGUUUUAAUGACGAGUUUUUAUAUUAGUGUAAACUGAUUUAUAUGGCGUGAUUAUAGCUAUAUGCACUGGUUAGGUCAAAAGUCAUAUUCAACGUUGUCUCAAAUACAUCUCUGUACACAAACUUAAACGACUGCCCAAAAUGUUUAAUAUCAACGAAAACCACGUUCAUUUCUUGUUUUACUUUACAUGCAAUGCUGCUAAAUAGUUUAUGUUGAUAUUCAGAGGCCAUUUCCUGAUGACUAUGUUGAUAUUCAGAGGCCAUUUCCUGAUGACUAUGUUGAUAUUCAGAGGCCAUUUCAUGAUGACUAUUUGAUUAAAAUUGUGUCUCAUGUGAUAGGCCUACCAAAUCCUGUCGUGUAGACGUGUCCAAACAUUUGCAUAAUUCUCGUGAAAACACCCGACUUGACAGUUGUGCACACCCGUAGGAACGAUAUCUGUAGGGGGGGGGGGGGGGGGGGGGACUCUAAUGCGGGUGUCGCAGGCCCCUCCCCCGUUCCCGGUUCCCAGUGUAUGACAUGGCAAUCCCGUCACGUUUGAUAAAUUAAUUAAUUCGUUUAGUACAUGGUAAACAACAAGGAUGUCCAUGCUUUACUCACGUGUUCUGUUGUCUGAAUGAUUAUUUUAUUGUUAACUGCUUUCUUGUAUUCAUUAUUUAUUUCCAGCUAACCCGCCGGAGUUGCAUAAUGUCAUACUGUUACAGUAAACUAUAUUAACAUCCCUAUACCAGCAACGAUUAGCUUUUACAGUAAACUAUAUAUUAACAUCCCUAUACCAGCAACGAUUAGCUUUUUUUUAGUAACUGGGAACGCUUUACAGCUAGCGCGGACUGGAAACAUAACACACGUGGUCUCAGUCAAAUACCAGCAAUGGUUAGCUAGUAACUGGAAAGGUAUUUCACUUAGCGCUAACUGGAAACAUAACAUACGUAGGCCGAGUCAAAUACCAGCAAUGGUUAGCUAGUAACUGGAAAGGUUUUUCACUUAGCGCUAACUGGAAACAUAACAUACGUAGGCCGAGUCAAAUACCAGCAAUGGUUAGCUAGUAACUGGAAAGGUUUUUCACUUAGCGCUAACUGGAAACAUAACAUACGUAGGCCGAGUCAAAUACCAGCAAUGGUUAGCUAGUAACUGGAAAGGUUUUUCACUUAGCGCUAAUUGGAAACAUAACACACGUGGUCUCAGUCAAAUACCAGCAAUGGUUAGCUAGUAACUGGAAACGUUUUUCACUUAGCGCUAACUGGAAACAUAACAUACGUAGGCCGAGUCAAAUACCAGCAAUGGUUAGCUAGUAACUGGAAAGGUUUUUCACUUAGCGCUAACUGGAAACAUAACAUACGUGGUCUCAGUCAAAUACCAGCAAUGGUUAGCUAGUAACUGGAAAGGUUUUUCACUUAGCGCUAACUGGAAACAUAACAUACGUAGGCCGAGUCAAAUACCAGCAAUGGUUAGCUAGUAACUGGAAAGGUUUUUCACUUAGCGCUAACUGGAAACAUAACAUACGUAGGCCGAGUCAAAUACCAGCAAUGGUUAGCUAGUAACUGGAAAGGUUUUUCACUUAGCGCUAAUUGGAAACAUAACACACGUGGUCUCAGUCAAAUACCAGCAAUGGUUAGCUAGUAACUGGAAACGUUUUUCACUUAGCGCUAACUGGAAACAUAACAUACGUAGGCCGAGUCAAAUACCAGCAAUGGUUAGCUAGUAACUGGAAAGGUUUUUCACUUAGCGCUAACUGGAAACAUAACAUACGUGGUCUCAGUCAAAUACCAGCAAUGGUUAGCUAGUAACUGGAAAGGUUUUUCACUUAGCGCUAACUGGAAACAUAACAUACGUAGGCCAAGUCAAAUACCAGCAAUGGUUAGCUAGUAACUGGAAAGGUUUUUCGCAUAUCGCUAACUGGAAACAUAACAGACGUAGGCCGAGUCAAAUACCAGCAAUGGUUAGCUAGUAACUGGGAAGGUUUGUCGCAUAUCGCUAACUGGAAACAUAACACACGUGGUCUCAGUCAAAUACCAGCAAUGGUUAGCUAGUAACUGGGAAGGUUUUUCACUUAGCGCUAACUGGAAACAUAACACACGUGGUCUCAGUCAAAUACCAGCAAUGGUUAGCUAGUAACUGGAAAGGUUUUUCACUUAGCGCUAACUGGAAACAUAACAUACGUAGGCCGAGUCAAAUACCAGCAAUGGUUAGCUAGUAACUGGAAAGGUUUUUCACUUAGCGCUAACUGGAAACAUAACACACGUGGUCUCGGUCAAAUACCAGCAAUGGUUAGCUAGUAACUGGAAACGUUUUUCACUUAGCGCUAACUGGAAACAUAACAUACGUAGGCCGAGUCAAAUACCAGCAAUGGUUAGCUAGUAACUGGGAAGGUUUGUCGCAUAUCGCUAACUGGAAACAUAACACACGUGGUCUCAGUCAAAUACCAGCAAUGGUUAGCUAGUAACUGGAAAGGUUUGUCGCAUAUCGCUAACUGGAAACAUAACACACGUGGUCUCAGUCAAAUACCAGCAGUGGUUAGCUAGUAACUGGGAAGGUUUUUCGCAUAUCGCUAACUGGAAACAUAACACACGUGGUCUCAGUCAAAUACCAGCAAUGGUUAGCUAGUAACUGGGAAGGUUUUUCGCAUAUCGCUAACUGGAAACAUAACACACGUGGUCUCAGUCAAAUACCAGCAAUGGUUAGCUAGUAACUGGAAAGGUUUUUCACUUAGCGCUAACUGGAAACAUAACACACGUGGUCUCAGUCAAGUACUAGGAAUGGUUAGCUAGUAACUGGAAAGGUUUUUCGCAUAUCGUAAACUGGAAACAUAACACACGUGGUCUCAGUCAAGUACCAGGAAUGGUUAGCUAGUAACUGGGAAGGUUUUUCGCAUAUCGUAAACUGGAAACAUAACACACGUGGUCUAGGUCAAAUACCAGCAAUGGUUAGCUAGUAACUGGAAAGGUUUUUCGCAUAUCGCAAACUGGAAACAUAACCCACGUGGUCUAGGUCAAAUACCAGCAAUGGUUAGCUAGUAACUGGAAAGGUUUUUCGCAUAUCGCAAACUGGAAACAUAACAUACGUAGGCCGAGUCAAAUACCAGCAAUGGUUAGCUAGUAACUGGGAAGGUUUGUCGCAUAUCGCUAACUGGAAACAUAACACACGUGGUCUCAGUCAAGUACCAGGAAUGGUUAGCUAGUAACUGGGAAGGUUUGUCGCAUAUCGCAAACUGGAAACAUAACAUACGUAGGCCGAGUCAAAUACCAGCAAUGGUUAGCUAGUAACUGGAAACGUUUUCAGCUAGCACUGACUGGAAAGGGGAAAAUACGUGUGGUCAGUCAGACGGGUUAUCAUUUUGUCUAUGCAAUGAGGUCUUGCCAGCGGGCGAUAGCGUCUUCGUGUACGCUGGUUACUGGAAAUAUCAAAUAACUUAACAUUUUGUUGGUCUGCGAGUCGUCUUCUAGAAUAAACAAUAUGUUUCAAA